rnacentral:rRNA from 1 species
UCCGUAGGGUGCGAGCGUUGUCCGGAAUUAUUGGGCGUAGAGAGCUCGUAGGCGGUGUGUCACGUCGGCCGUGAAAACCUGCAGCUUAACUGUGGGCGUGCGGUCGAUACGGGCAUCACUGGAGUUCGGCAGGGGAGACUGGAAUUCCUGGUGUAGCGGUGAAAUGCGCAGAUAUCAGGAGGAACACCGGUGGCGAAGGCGGGUCUCUGGGCCGAUACUGACGCUGAGGAGCGAAAGCGUGGGGAGCAAACAGG